UCCUCCUACGGGGGGCAGCAGUGAGGAAUAUUGGUCAAUGGCCGGAAGGCUGAACCAGCCAUGCCGCGUGAAGGUCAGUGCCCUAUGGGCGUUAAACUUCUUUUGUGCGGGAGCAAUAAUGGUCACGUGUGGCCAGACGAGAGUACCGUACGAAUAAGCAUCGGCUAACUACGUGCCAGCAGCCGCGGUAAUACGUAGGUGGCGAGCGUUAUCCGGAAUGAUUGGGCGUAAAGGGUGCGCAGGCGGUCCUGCAAGUCUGGCG
rnacentral:rRNA from 1 species